GUGCUUGCUUCGGCAGCACAUAUACUAAAAUUGGAACGAUACAGAGAAGAAUAGCAUGGCCCCUGUGCAAAGAUGACACGCAAAUUCCAGAAGCGUUCCAUAUUUUA